AGAAACAGCUGCAAUCUGGUGUCCCUGCAGAAACCGGCGUUUCUGGGCGCCCGGAACCAUGUUCUGGGCGACCGAAACAUCCAGGCUGCACAAAUCAUGCUCCUCGGACUCUCCGCUCGCGGUGUGCUGCGCCCGUAAACGGUUCCGGCGGAACUCACCUACCACCCCGCCACACGUCGAAGCAAACGAUAUUCACGAUGUAGAAUUUUCGGACCCACUUCUCGGCGCCCGGAAUAUAGGAUCCGAAUUGGCUUCCAGUUUUAGCUGAAUUCAACACUCGGUUCUGGGCGACCUAAACCAUGUUCUGGGCGCCCGAAUCUGGCAAAACUCCAGUUUUGCUUAUUUGAGUGCGCCAAGUCCAAUUCUGCAUCCAAUUCGUGCAGAAUUGACUCUGACUCAGUCCGACACUCUCCAGAGAUGUCGACCAGUCACUAAUACUGAAGUCAAUCCUAUCCAAAGCUCAGGAACACUACAGUUUGGAAGAAAAAAAAUAACAUAAUUUUUGGAGUAUAGUUAUACUAUACUCCAAAAAAUGAAGUAAACUUACAAUCCACUUUAACUAAAGGAAAAAAAAUUCCACCAUUUUGGGCUCCCAAAGAUAUAUCAAUUUCUAAAUUUUAAAUUUCAACAUAAAAUUUUAAAUUUCAAAAUUUUAAAUUUUAAAAUUCAAUUUUAAUUUUGAUUUUAAAUUUCAAAUUUCAAAUUUCAAUUUCAAAAAGUUCAAAUAUCAAAUUUCAAAUUUCAAAUUUCAAAUUUCAAAAAGUUCUAAUUUCAAAUUUCAAACUUCAAAUUUCAAAUUUCAACUUUCAAAUUUCAACUUUCAAAUUUCAACUUUCAAAUUUCAAAUUU
rnacentral:lncRNA from 1 species